rnacentral:rRNA from 1 species
CCUACGGGGGGCACCAGUGGGGAAUAUUGGACAAUGGGCGCAAGCCUGAUCCAGCCAUGCCGCGUGAGUGAUGAAGGCCUUAGGGUUGUAAAGCUCUUUUGUCCGGGACGAUAAUGACGGUACCGGAAGAAUAAGCCCCGGCUAACUUCGUGCCAGCAGCCGCGGUAAUACGAAGGGGGCUAGCGUUGCUCGGAAUCACUGGGCGUAAAGGGCGCGUAGGCGGCCUUGUAAGUUGGGGGUGAAAGCCCGUGGCUCAACCACGGAAUUGCCUUCGAUACUGCUUGGCUUGAGUGUGGUAGAGGUUGGUGGAACUGCGAGUGUAGAGGUGAAAUUCGUAGAUAUUCGCAAGAACACCGGUGGCGAAGGCGGCCAACUGGACCAUCACUGACGCUGAGGCGCGAAAGCGUGGGGAGCAAACAGGAUUAGAUACCCCCGUAGUC